AAUAUGGGACAAUGGGUGAAAGCCUGAUCCAGCCAGGCCGCGUGUGUGAAGAAGGUCUUCGGAUUNUAAAGCACUUUAAGUUGGGANGAAGGGCUUUAGGUUAAUACCCUGAAGUUUUGACGUUACCAACAGAACAAGCACCGGCUAACUCUGUGCCAGCAGCUGCGGUAAUACAGUGGGUGCAAGCGUUACGCGGAAUUACUGGGCGUAAAGCGCGCGUAGGUGGUUCAGUAAGAUGGGUGUGAAAUCCCCGGGCUCACCCUGUGAGCUGCUUUCAUAACUGCUGAGCUAGAGUACGGUAGAGGGUAGUGGAAUUUCCUGUGUAGCGGUGAAAUGCGUAGAUAUAGGAAGGAACACCAGUGGCGAAGGCGACUACCUGGACUGAUACUGACACUGAGGUGCGAAAGCGUGGGGAGCAAAC
rnacentral:rRNA from 1 species